rnacentral:rRNA from 1 species
CCUACGGUCAGCUGCAGUGGGGAAUAUUGGACAAUGGGCGAAAGCCUGAUCCAGCCAUGCCGCGUGUGUGAAGAAGGCCUUCGGGUUGUAAAGCACUUUCAGUGGGGAAGAAAGCCUUGGGGCUAAUACCCUCGAGGAAGGACAUCACCCACAGAAGAAGCACCGGCUAACUCCGUGCCAGCAGCCGCGGUAAUACGGAGGGUGCGAGCGUUAAUCGGAAUUACUGGGCGUAAAGCGCGCGUAGGCGGUCUGAUAAGCCGGUUGUGAAAGCCCCGGGCUCAACCUGGGAACGGCAUCCGGAACUGUCAGGCUAGAGUGCAGGAGAGGAAGGUAGAAUUCCCGGUGUAGCGGUGAAAUGCGUAGAGAUCGGGAGGAAUACCAGUGGCGAAGGCGGCCUUCUGGACUGACACUGACGCUGAGGUGCGAAAGCGUGGGUAGCAAACAGGAUUAGAUACCCUGGUAGUC